UGGGAGCUUGCUCCCUGAUGUUAGCGGCGGACGGGUGAGUAACACGUGGGUAACCUGCCUGUAAGACUGGGAUAACUCCGGGAAACCGGGGCUAAUACCGGAUGGUUGUUUGAACCGCAUGGUUCAAACAUAAAAGGUGGCUUCGGCUACCACUUACAGAUGGACCCGCGGCGCAUUAGCUAGUUGGUGAGGUAACGGCUCACCAAGGCAACGAUGCGUAGCCGACCUGAGAGGGUGAUCGGCCACACUGGGACUGAGACACGGCCCAGACUCCUACGGGAGGCAGCAGUAGGGAAUCUUCCGCAAUGGACGAAAGUCUGACGGAGCAACGCCGCGUGAGUGAUGAAGGUUUUCGGAUCGUAAAGCUCUGUUGUUAGGGAAGAACAAGUACCGUUCGAAUAGGGCGGUACCUUGACGGUACCUAACCAGAAAGCCACGGCUAACUACGUGCCAGCAGCCGCGGUAAUACGUAGGUGGCAAGCGUUGUCCGGAAUUAUUGGGCGUAAAGGGCUCGCAGCGGUUUCUUAAGUCUGAUGUGAAAGCCCCCGGCUCAACCGGGGAGGGUC
rnacentral:rRNA from 1 species